GUCGAAACCUGCCCAGCAGAACGACCCGCGGACACGUUACAUCACUCGCGGGGAGGGGCGCCUCGGCCCCCUCCCCGAGCCGGGGGACUCUCCCCCGGCGCAACAACGAACCCCGGCGCGGACCGCGCCAAGGAACACAAACUCAUAAAGUGCCCGCCCGCGCCCGGUCCGCCGGCGCGCGGGGGCGGCACCUGUCCCUACUUAAUUGUAACGACUCUAGGCAACGGAUAUCUCGGCUCUCGCAUCGAUGAAGAACGUAGCGAAAUGCGAUACUUGGUGUGAAUUGCAGAAUCCCGUGAACCAUCGAGUCUUUGAACGCAAGUUGCGCCCGAAGCCUUCCGGCCGAGGGCACGUCUGCCUGGGCGUCACGCAUCGCGUCUCCCCCCUUCCGCCUCGCGCGGAGGGAGGAAGGAUGAUGGCCUCCCGUGCCCCACCCGGGCGCGGCUGGCCUAAAGCGGGAGCCCGCGGCGACGAGCUGCUGCGGCGAUUGGUGGUGGACGAGGCCUUGAGGCCCCUGUUUGCAUCGCGCCGCGCACGCACGCCGUCGGGAGGGGCUCGUCGGACCCUUAGGUGGCGAAAGCCACAAACCGUUGCGACCCCAGGUCAGGCGGGGCUACCCGCUGAGUUUAAGCAUAUCAAUAAG
rnacentral:sRNA from 1 species